UGGAGGACUGAGAAGGUUAAGCAGCUUGUGCUGUGCUGUUAUAACUGGUUAUAGCCUCCGAGAGCAACUAACAAACAACACGACUGUGCAGCUCGGUGUGAUGCCACAGAGCUGACAGCUGUGUUUGUUAACACAAC
ensembl:snoRNA small nucleolar RNA SNORA47